UGAAAACGUUUUAAAAUAGAGACGUUCUUGAAUUUCGUUUAAGUGAAAAAGAAUUGCCAAAAUUUAUCGUUUUGGAAGGAGAUUAUUCUUCUUCAUUUCAACGAAAAAUAUUUUAUAAGGAGGAAGAACAAGA
rnacentral:sRNA from 1 species